GUCCUUAACCGUGAGAGCAUUUAGCUUACGAGCGUCCAGACACAAACGGUUCUUCUCGCCCCUACGGACGAGAGUAACCGGAUGGCUCCAAGGACUCUCGCUUCAUAAAGUCUACGCCUAAGAAUAGACUCCUACUUAGCGUUGGUACUAAAUAUAAGCUUUCUUUAUCUUGUUCGAGACCUUCCCGAAGAUUCUUAAUUUAGCUUCAUUAUAUUCAUGAAUUCUUUGAUGUAAUUGUUUAAUUACAUGAACUUUCGACUUCUCAGCUUCAGGAGUUAAACGCUCGGAAUUAACUAGAAUUCGGGUAGGUCUGGACGGAGUAUUAUCCGGGAUUAGGGUUGGUUUGAAUGAGUCCCCCCCGUUUGGGACUCGUUCCCCUUCAGGUUUCCCUGACAUUUAGGGCAUUUAGGCGUGACUACAUUGUCUCUACCUCAUCCAAAACAAAAUAUGCGUCUAUUGGGUGAUGGGCAAUCCAUGAAGUUAUGGCCUGGUUGCUUGCAAUUCCAGCAUAUAUACCGGCUGCUAGUGGCUAAGGCGUCUACUUCGGGGAUAGGUGUAAGCUCUUCAUCUCCAAACUGGAGUUCGUGUACGCGAGCUGGGACGGAAUGUCUAGCUUGAAAAGUCUGCCUUUGGGUGGUAAUUAAGUUUUCGGCUCGUUUUGCCUGCUGGCAGAACUCAUUCAGAUUAGAAGUGGUCACAGAAAAUAGUAAGUGCGACAUUGACGGUUUUAAGUUACUUUUCAUAAUUUCCACCAAGUCUCGCUCAGAAUAUGGAUUUCGCUGCUGGUUCCUUAGCUUUAUCACAGCAUUGUAGAAACUUUCGAAGCUUUCCAUCGGUAGUUGGCGACGAUCCAUUAUUUGUUUCUGCAGUUGGAACUCGCUCUCGUACCGUCUGAACUGCGUAAGAAAUGCUCCCACCAACACUUCCCAGGAGUGUAUUGGCCUUAAUUUGCGGAGGUUCCAGUACCAAUCUAAGGCCUGGCCUUCCAACAACGAAUGGAAACUUCGUAAAAUUACAUUGAAGCUACAAUUAUAAUCCUGACUCAAGACAUCAAUACGGAAUCCUCUGCACUCAUUGAUUUGAAUGUGCCAUCAAAUUUUAUUCCCCACUUUGAUAAAUCCACCUUCCGGGCGAUGGAAAAAGAACCUUUUGUGGGCCAGCUUGGGGCUUGCGACGACUGUGGUGGUGGCAAAACUGGAUUGAAGUUUGGCGGAUGUGUAUAAGCAGCUCGUGGUGGCAACGGCUGAAAAGCGUCUGGUUGCUGAUUAUUAAGCACAGGUGGUUGCGGUUCGGCAGGCUGUUUAGGUGAUGCUUGGGAUAACGCUCGAGUCAUGGAUUGCGCAAUCUCUUGUUGCAUAUCGCUACGCAAGAACUGCAUUUGCCUUUGCAAUUCCUCGCGCAUAAAAUUAACCACCUCGGUCGCAUGCAAAUUCCAUAAAAAAUUAAAACACUCAGAUCAUUUCAUAAUAAUUCAAAACUAAUUAUAAAUGUUAUUAAAAGAAAUAUUUCAUGUUAAUAAAUGAUGUUCUAAUUUUUAAGAGUAGUAUAAAUAUAACUACAAAAAUAAUACUUUUACAUUUGUGGAUUAUAAUUUUAUGUUUUCUCAUAAAUUCUUAAUUAUAUCUUUUAAAAUAA